rnacentral:rRNA from 1 species
CUACAUGAAGCUGGAAUCGCUAGUAAUCGCGAAUCAGAAUGUCGCGGUGAAUACGUUCCCGGGUCUUGUACACACCGCCCGUCACACCAUGGGAGUCGGAAAUGCCCGAAGUCAGUGACCCAACCACAACGUGAACUUCGUUCGCGUGGAGGGAGCUGCCGAAGGUGGAGCCGGUAACUGGGGUGAAGUCGUAACAAGGUAUC